AGUGAACGCUGGCGGUAGGCCUAACACAUGCAAGUCGAACGGCAGCACAGUAAGAGCUUGCUCUUACGGGUGGCGAGUGGCGGACGGGUGAGGAAUACAUCGGAAUCUACUUUUUCGUGGGGGAUAACGUAGGGAAACUUACGCUAAUACCGCAUACGACCUACGGGUGAAAGCAGGGGAUCUUCUGACCUUGCGCGAUUGAAUGAGCCGAUGUCGGAUUAGCUAGUUGGCGGGGUAAAGGCCCACCAAGGCGACGAUCCGUAGCUGGUCUGAGAGGAUGAUCAGCCACACUGGAACUGAGACACGGUCCAGACUACUACGGGAGGCAGCAGUGGGGAAUAUUGGACAAUGGGCGCAAGCCUGAUCCAGCCAUACCGCGUGGGUGAAGAAGGCCUUCGGGUUGUAAAGCCGUUUUGUUGGGAAAGAAAAGCAGCAGGUUAAUACCCCGCUGUUCUGACGGUACCCAAAGAAUAAGCACCGGCUAACUUCGUG
rnacentral:rRNA from 1 species